rnacentral:rRNA from 1 species
AUGGCCCUGGCGGCCAUCUUCGUCUUCCUCCUCGUCUGCGCGGUGCACGUGCUCGAAAGCAUGCUCGAUCUCGCCAAGAAGAGGGGAUCAGUGAGCGAUGAGCAGGUCAAACUACGGGUGGCAAUCACGCAGCUUCUCAAGGAGUCCAGUGCACUGUCAACGCCCUCGACGUUUGCGCAGGCCGCAAAGCUCAAGAGACUGGCUGCUGCUAAAGAGAAGGAACUAGCCAAAUUGCAACAGUCGGACAUUAAGGGGAAGCAGUCUCUACAUGAGAAAUAUGGCAAAGUUCUGAAGGCUACCAAGGUCCUAGUCUAUGGUUUGCUCGUUCUGUCGUUUUGGAGUGCACCUGUAGCUACCGUCCCCAACCAUCUUCUACAGCCCUUCGGAAGGAUGUUCUCCUGGAAAGGCGUUGAUGCUGCUACAGGACGUGUCGUGGUUGGAAUUAUACCAUGGCUAUUUUUGACCUCUCGUGUCAGCAAAUUAUUGUCCCAAAAACUCGCCCCCAUAUUUCUGCACUAG